GGGAAUGUGGCUUAGUGGUAGAGUGCUUGCCUACCAUGCAUGAAGCCCUGGGUUUGAUUCCUCAUUGUCA
rfam:Dipodomys ordii contig_3398, whole genome shotgun sequence.